rnacentral:rRNA from 1 species
GACGAACGCUGGCGGCGUGCUUAACACAUGCCAGUCGAACGGAAAGGCCCUGCUUUUGUGGGGUGCUCGAGUGGCGAACGGGUGAGUAACACGUGAGUAACCUGCCCUUGACUUUGGGAUAACUUCAGGAAACUGGGGCUAAUACCGGAUAGGAGCUCCUGCUGCAUGGUGGGGGUUGGAAAGUUUCGGCGGUUGGGGAUGGACUCGCGGCUUAUCAGCUUGUUGGUGGGGUAGUGACUUACCAAGGCUUUGACGGGUAGCCGGCCUGAGAGGGUGACCGGCCACAUUGGGACUGAGAUACGGCCCAGACUCCUACGGGAGGCAGCAGUGGGGAAUAUUGCACAAUGGGCGGAAGCCUGAUGCAGCAACGCCGCGUGCGGGAUGACGGCCUUCGGGUUGUAAACCGCUUUCGCCUGUGACGAAGCGUGAGUGACGGUAAUGGGUAAAGAAGCACCGGCUAACUACGUG